CUCCUACCUCAGGAAUGGCAGCAGAAAAAGUCCUGAAAGCCCCAAGUGAUCUGGUUAUAAUUCUUUUGUCAGUUGCUUGGCAUCUAGCACCCAGGUCCUAACCAUCUCUCCAUCCUUUUGUUAUUAGUUCUUACUGGAAGCCCAGUGUCAUUUAGAGGCUGAGUCUCUUGAGAGAUGAAAUCACCAAGGUGACACUGAAGGGAGGUACUCCUUAAGGGAAAAUCUAAGUCCAGAGAGACAGUCGGUAACAGAUAGGCUGCCCCUUUGCUUGCCUUUCUGUUUCACAGGCACAAAGCUUGUGCUUAUUUUUGCACUGGUCUUUUUGUCCCAAGAAAGCUUUCUCGUUUAAGUGUGUGACUGAAUGCUAGUUGUCCUCUUCGGCGGAUGUCUAUUUUCUACUCUUCUUUUUCCCACCAGUCCACUUGAGAUGCUUGCUUAUAGCUGUUACAGGUCCUCUUUACCACCGAGGAAAGACAGAAUCCUACUAGAGGCCAGAAAAAAUGUUCCAGACACAGAUGGAAGGCCCUCACUCCUGCCUGUUGACUUCAAUACCCCUGAAGGUAGGGAGUGGUUCGGGUAUAUCACCAGGCUCCAGUGGUGGAUCUCUGAGGGGAUGGAAAAUGCCCCAUCAAUUUGGCUAAGCUGGCAGCAGCGUAUGCCCUGGGGACCCCUGAGACAUCUCACCAGUUCCAGGUCGGAGACUCUGUCUAUGUACAACAACACCAGGCCCAGAUACUUUGAGCCUCACUGGAAAGGACCAUACCUUUGGAAUAAUAUGUGGAAAGGACACUCCAACAGCCGUCAAGUGUCAGCCCUCACCAGCCGUAUACUAGCUGUUGGGACUGGGGGGCUGGGACACAUAGGUACAUUCGGAUCUUUAAAAUCUUAAAAAUCUCCCUAGACUUGCAUGUCAGAUAAGUGGAUACAUCAGAGACGUGAUUGGGGGUUGCUGUAAUGCUCACUUGAGGAGUGUGCUUUGGAAACAAGAAUUUUAUGUUUGCCUUGGAUUCCAUCGAGAUGGGUCCCUCAAACAUAGACUUGAUUUCUAUUGCAAAUGAUGUAACAUCCCCUUACUAUGAAGGCAUUGCAUAUGUUAGUACUCCUAACACUUCUUGGGCCUGUGCCUCAGGGAUCACAACCUAUAUAAGUUCAGAAGUUCUAAAAGGCAAUCAUGACUUUUGUGCAUUAGUUCAGAUAGUGCCCAGAUUGUUAUACCAUCCUUAUGAGGACAUACUGAACUAUUAGGAUCCUGAUACUAGAGACUUAGUAAGACACAAAAGAGAGUUGGGGAUUACUCUGGCAAUUAUCUUAGGACUGAGUUUAGGUGAUGCAGGGGAAGCUACAGGGACAUCUGUCAUUGCCCUACAACACAAGGCUUAUGGAGAAUUGAGGACUGCCAUUGACUUACAUAUAGAAAGAAGAGAAAAGAUUUUAACUGACCUCCAAGAAUCACUGACCUCUCUCUCAGAGGUAGUCCUUCAGAAUAGGAGAAGAUUAGACCUGAUAUUCCUUAAAGUAGGAGGUCUGUGUGCUGCAUUAAAAGAAGAAUGUUGUUUUUAUAUAGAUCACUCAGGAAGAGUUAAAGAUAAUUUGGCUAAGAUUAGAGAAAGAUUAAAACUAAGUUUUUAAAAAGAAAGAGAGAGGUAGAGCUCAAGAAAAAAUUUGGUUUGAAACCUAGUUCAAUUCUUCCCCUUGGUUCACAACUCUAGUUUAUUGUUUAUUAGAGAACACAUUAGUAUAAUGCAGAUAAUGGUGUUAAAACAGCUAUGUUAGCCCAUCACUAGGGAUGAGAUUGAGUUAUGAUUUUAAGAUUAAAACCAUGAUAAAAGAAAAAGGGGGAAUGAAGAAAUAUAGUUUAAUAGAUGUGAGAAACAAAGUUGUAAAAACAAGGUUUUGAGAAAUAUAUCUGGUGGUCAGGAUGCCUAUGACAAACUUGUGACCUUUCUGAGAGAUACAUCUGACAUCAGGAUGCCCAGUGAUAUGAUAAAGUUUCAGUGAUCAAGAUUCUGACUAAGCUAAUUAAGAUAAAACAAAACAAAACAAACAAACAAAAAAAACCAAAACUGUUCUUGGAAAGACCCCCUUAUCCCCCGCUCUGGUAAAUUCUGAGAACAACCACAAGAUGUCAUCCUGACCCUGCCCGACCACUCAGUUCACCCCCCACCCCCAAGGGACUUGCCAACAUAGCCCUUUCCCAGUUAUUUUCCAAGGCCAGGUGUAGGGCUGGCUGAGGAAAGUACCUAACUGAGCCAAGAGCAGCUCCUUGAGCAGGCCAACCAAUACCUGACCAGAUCCUUUGUCCUGUGUACCACCAAUGAGAAUAAACCAGAUAACCCUGUUGCUGAAGUCUGCCCUCUGUAAAGAAUAAAAGUUGUGUGCUUUUUGGGUUUGGGGUUGCCUCUCCCUGGGUGGAUUAAAAACCUUAUACCCUCA
rnacentral:lncRNA from 1 species